rnacentral:sRNA from 1 species
AAAUCCUUAGUAUUACUAAUGUUUAAAAAAAAUCAAAAAAAAUCAUACUCUGUGUUUGUCACUAU